rnacentral:rRNA from 1 species
UACGUAGGGGGCAAGCGUUGUCCGGAAUCAUUGGGCGUAAAGCGCGCGUAGGCGGCCCGGUAAGUCCGUUGUGAAAGUCAAAGGCUCAACCUUUGAAUGCCGAUGGAUACUGCCGGGCUCGAGUCCGGAAGAGGCGAGUGGAAUUCCUGGUGUAGCGGUGGAAUGCGCAGAAAUCAGGAGGAACACCAAUAGCGAAGGCAGCUCGCUGGGACGGUACUGACGCUAAGGCGCGAAAGCGUGGGAGCGAACAGG